UACAGAGGGUGCAAGCGUUAAUCGGAAUUACUGGGCGUAAAGGGCGCGUAGGUGGUUAUUUAAGUCAGAUGUGAAAUCCCUGGGCUUAACCUAGGAAUUGCGUUUGAAACUAGAUGGCUAGAGUAUGAUAGAGGCGAGUGGAAUUCCGAGUGUAGAGGUGAAAUUCGUAGAUAUUCGGAGGAACACCAGUGGCGAAGGCGACUCGCUGGAUCAUUGCUGACGCUGAGACGCGAAAGCGUGGGGAGCAAACAGG
rnacentral:rRNA from 1 species